rnacentral:rRNA from 1 species
AUUGAACGCUGGCGGCAGGCCUAACACAUGCAAGUCGAGCGGAUGAAGGGAGCUUGCUCCUGGAUUCAGCGGCGGACGGGUGAGUAAUGCCUAGGAAUCUGCCUGGUAGUGGGGGAUAACGUCCGGAAACGGGCGCUAAUACCGCAUACGUCCUGAGGGAGAAAGUGGGGGAUCUUCGGACCUCACGCUAUCAGAUGAGCCUAGGUCGGAUUAGCUAGUUGGUGGGGUAAAGGCCUACCAAGGCGACGAUCCGUAACUGGUCUGAGAGGAUGAUCAGUCACACUGGAACUGAGACACGCCCCAGACUCCUACGGGAGGCAGCAGGGGGGAAUAUGGGACAAUGGGCAAAAGCGUGAUCCAGCCAUGCCGCGUGUGUGAAGAAGGUCUUCGGAUUGUAAAGCACUUUAAGUUGGGAGGAAGGGAAGUAAGUUAAUACCUUGCUGUUUGGACGUUACCAAAAGAAUAAGCCCGGGCUACCUUCGUG